rnacentral:rRNA from 1 species
AACGAACGCUGGCGGCAUGCCUAACACAUGCAAGUCGAACGAUGCCUUCGGGCAUAGUGGCGCACGGGUGCGUAACGCGUGGGAAUCUGCCUUUCGGUUCGGAAUAACUUAGGGAAACUUGAGCUAAUACCGGAUAACGUCGCAAGACCAAAGAUUUAUCACCGAAAGAUGAGCCCGCGUAGGAUUAGCUAGUUGGUGAGGUAAAGGCUCACCAGGGCGACGAUCCUUAGCUGGUCUGAGAGGAUGAUCAGCCACACUGGGACUGAGACACGGCCCAGACUCCUACGGGAGGCAGCAGUGGGGAAUAUUGGACAAUGGGCGAAAGCCUGAUCCAGCAAUGCCGCGUGAGUGAUGAAGGCCUUAGGGUUGUAAAGCUCUUUUACCCGGGAAGAUAAUGACGGUACCGGGAGAAUAAGCCCCGGCUAACUCCGUG